rnacentral:rRNA from 1 species
UUCGGGUUGUAAACCCCUUUCGACAGGGACGAAGCGCAAGUGACGGUACCUGUAGAAGAAGCACCGGCCAACUACGUGCCAGCAGCCGCGGUAAUACGUAGGGUGCGAGCGUUGUCCGGAAUUACUGGGCGUAAGAGCUUGUAGGCGGUCUGUCGCGUCUUCUGUGAAAACUUGGGGCUCAACCUUAAGCUUGCAGGGGAUACGGGCAGACUAGAGUACUUCAGGGGAGACUGGAAUUCCUGGUGUAGCGGUGAAAUGCGCAGAUAUCAGGAGGAACACCGGUGGCGAAGGCGGGUCUCUGGGAAGUAACUGACGCUGAGAAGCGAAAGCAUGGGUAGCAAACAGGAUUAGAUACCCUGGUAGUCCAUGCCGUAAACGGUGGGUACUAGGUGUGGGUUUCCUUCCACGGGAUCCGUGCCGUAGCUAACGCAUUAAGUACCCCGCCUGGGGAGUACGGCCGCAAGGCUAAAACUCAAAGGAAUUGACGGGGGCCCGCACAAGCGGCGGAGCAUGUGGAUUAAUUCGAUGCAACGCGAAGAACCUUACCUGGGUUUGACAUACACCGGAAACCUGCAGAGAUGUAGGCCCCCUUGUGGUCGGUGUACAGGUGGUGCAUGGCUGUCGUCAGCUCGUGUCGUGAGAUGUUGGGUUAAGUCCCGCAACGAGCGCAACCCUUAUCUUAUGUUGCCAGCGCGUAAUGGCGGGGACUCGUGAGAGACUGCCGGGGUCAACUCGGAGGAAGGUGGGGACGACGUCAAGUCAUCAUGCCCCUUAUGUCCAGGGCUUCACACAUGCUACAAUGGCCGGUACAGAGGGCUGCGAUACCGUGAGGUGGAGCGAAUCCCUUAAAGCCGGUCUCAGUUCGGAUCGGGGUCUGCAACUCGACCCCGUGAAGUUGGAGUCGCUAGUAAUCGCAGAUCA